CUCUAUCAGCCCGCCCACCUGUACAAUCAGACCCCUUUGAUAGUGACAGUGACCCAGAUGACCCUGAGCCUUUCCAUGGUUUUGAUGCCUCGCCCUAUACAUCAGAUGUAGAUGUUCCCUCAUCAGUUGAUACGAGUAUCACCUCUCCAGAGCCCAAAUCAGUUGAUACGAGUAGUAUCACCUCUCCCAUUCCUUCAGACUCCCAAGCACCUGCCCAUCCCACUCCAUAGCCCAGCCACCCACUCUCAUGUACCAUAUGGCCAUC